GUACAAUAAGCAUCCGCCAGGGAACUACGAGCACCAGCUUAAAACCCAAAGGACUUGGCGGUGCCUCAGACCCUCCUAGAGGAGCCUGUUCUAGAACCGAUAACCCCCGUUCAACCUCACCAUCCCUUGCCUUUUCCGCCUAUAUACCACCGUCGCCAGCUUACCCUGUGAAGGUGAAAGUAAGCAAAAUGGAGAACCUCCAGAACGUCAGGUCGAGGUGUAGCAUACGAGAUGGGAAGAAAUGGGCUACAUUGCCUAGCAUAGACUACUACGAAGAGUCGCCUGAAAGGGCUAUUUGAAGGUGGAUUUAGCAGUAAAAGGGGAAUAGAGUGCCC
rnacentral:rRNA from 1 species